rnacentral:rRNA from 1 species
UACGGGGGGGUGCUAGCGUUGUUCGGAAUUACUGGGCGUAAAGAGCGUGUAGGCGGCUCGAUAAGUCUGCUGUGAAAGUCCAGGGCUCAACCCUGGAAGGCCGGUGGAAACUGUCGGGCUAGAGUCCGGAAGAGGCGAGUGGAAUUCCCGGUGUAGCGGUGAAAUGCGCAGAUAUCGGGAGGAACACCAAUGGCGAAGGCAGCUCGCUGGGACGGUACUGACGCUGAGACGCGAAAGCGUGGGGAGCAACAGGG